rnacentral:rRNA from 1 species
AUACGGAGGAUCCGAGCGUUAUCCGGAUUUAUUGGGUUUAAAGGGCGCGCAGGCGGCCAUUUAAGUCAGCGGUUAAAUCGUGGGGCUCAACCCCAUUCUGCCGUUGAUACUGGGUGGCUUGAUUGCGGUCGAGGUUGGCGGAAUUCGUUGUGUAGCGGUGAAAUGCAUAGAUAUGACGAAGAACACCGAUUGCGUAGGCAGCUGACCAGACCGCAAAUGACGCUCAUGCACGAAAGUGCGGGGAUCGAACAGGAUUAGAUACCCUGGUAGUCCGCACAGUAAACGAUGAAUACUUGUUUUCGGCGAUAUAAUGUCGGAGGCAAAGCGAAAGCGAUAAGUAUUCCACCUGGGGAGUGCGCCGGCAACGGUGAAACUCAAAGGAAUUGACGGGG